AUUGAACGCUGGCGGCAUGCCUUACACAUGCAAGUCGAACGGCAGCACGGGAGCAAUCCUGGUGGCGAGUGGCGAACGGGUGAGUAAUAUAUCGGAACGUGCCCAGUCGUGGGGAUAACGUAGCGAAAGCUACGCUAAUACCGCAUACGAUCUAUGGAUGAAAGCGGGGGAUCGCAAGACCUCGCGCGAUUGGAGCGGCCGAUAUCAGAUUAGGUAGUUGGUGAGGUAAAGGCUCACCAAGCCGACGAUCUGUAGCUGGUCUGAGAGGACGACCAGCCACACUGGGACUGAGACACGGCCCAGACUCCUACGGGAGGCAGCAGUGGGGAAUUUUGGACAAUGGGCGCGAGCCUGAUCCAGCAAUGCCGCGUGCAGGA
rnacentral:rRNA from 1 species